rnacentral:rRNA from 1 species
AACGAACGCUGGCGGCAUGCCUAACACAUGCAAGUCGAACGAGACCCUCGGGUCUAGUGGCGCACGGGUGCGUAACGCGUGGGAACCUGCCCUUAGGUUCGGAAUAACUCCCCGAAAGGGGUGCUAAUACCGGAUAAUGUCUUCGGACCAAAGAUUUAUCGCCUUUGGAUGGGCCCGCGUUGGAUUAGCUAGUUGGUAGGGUAAAAGCCUACCAAGGCGACGAUCCAUAGCUGGUCUGAGAGGAUGAUCAGCCACACUGGGACUGAGACACGGCCCAGACUCCUACGGGAGGCAGCAGUGGGGAAUAUUGGACAAUGGGCGAAAGCCUGAUCCAGCAAGGCCGCGGGAGUGAUGAAGGCCUUAGGGUUGUAAAGCUCUUUUACCCGGGAUGAUAAGGACAGUACCGGGAGAAUAAGCUCCGGCUAACUCCGU